rnacentral:rRNA from 1 species
GAUGAACGCUGGCGGCGUGCCUAAUACAUGCAAGUCGAGCGAACAGAUGAGGAGCUUGCUCCUCUGACGUUAGCGGCGGACGGGUGAGUAACACGUGGAUAACCUACCUAUAAGACUGGGAUAACUUCGGGAAACCGGAGCUAAUACCGGAUAAUAUAUUGAACCGCAUGGUUCAAUAGUGAAAGACGGUUUUGCUGUCACUUAUAGACGGAUCCGCGCCGCAUUAGCUAGUUGGUAAGGUAACGGCUUACCAAGGCGACGAUGCGUAGCCGACCUGAGAGGAUGAUCGGCCACACUGGAACUGAGACACGGUCCAGACUCCUACGGGAGGCAGCAGUAGGGAAUCUUCCGCAAUGGGCGAAAGCCUGACGGAGCAACGCCGCGUGAGUGAUGAAGGUCUUCGGAUCGUAAAGCUCUGUUAUUAGGGAAGAACAAAUGUGUAAGUAACUAUGCACGUCUUGACGGUACCUAAUCAGAAAGCCACGGCUAACUACGUG